UUUUAAAUUUAGAGUUUGAUCCUGGCUCAGGACGAACGCUGGCGGCGUGCUUAACACAUGCAAGUCGAGCGAUGAAGCUUCCUUCGGGGAGUGGAUUAGCGGCGGACGGGUGAGUAACACGUGGGUAACCUGCCUCAAAGUGGGGGAUAGCCUUCCGAAAGGAAGAUUAAUACCGCAUAAUAUAAGAGAAUCGCAUGAUUUUCUUAUCAAAGAUUUAUUGCUUUGAGAUGGACCCGCGGCGCAUUAGCUAGUUGGUAAGGUAACGGCUUACCAAGGCAACGAUGCGUAGCCGACCUGAGAGGGUGAUCGGCCACAUUGGAACUGAGACACGGUCCAGACUCCUACG
rnacentral:rRNA from 1 species